AUCUGAAGAGCAUGCUGAAACAGAAGCGCUGGCCAGUCCUGAAGGACAUCAUGGGCUCCCUCCAGGUAACAUAAACUAAGUUACAUUCGGGAAAGGAGUCAGCACCAUUUUCAGGGACCGGAGAACAGGUUCAAAGA
rnacentral:lncRNA from 1 species